rnacentral:rRNA from 1 species
CCUACGUGAGGCAGCAGUGAGGAAUAUUGGUCAAUGGACGAGAGUCUGAACCAGCCAAGUAGCGUGAAGGAUGACUGCCCUAUGGGUUGUAAACUUCUUUUAUCAAGGAGUAAAACGAGGCACGUGUGCCUUUUUGCAUGUUCUUUAUGAAUAAGGCUUGGCUUACUUCGUUCCAGCAGCCGUGGGAAUACGUAGGGGGCAAGCUUUGUUCGGAAUAACUGGGGGUAAAGGAUGCGUUGGCGGGUAAGCUAAGUAAAUGGUAAAUAUAUAGGCUUAAACUGUAGAAAGCAUAUAAAACUGUUUAACUAGAGUGCAGGAGAGGUAAGUGGAAUUCGUGGGGUAGCGGUGAAAUGCGUAGAGAUUAGGAAGAACACCAGUGGCGAAGGCGACUUACUGUACUGGAACUGACGCUGAGGCAUGAGAGCAUGGGGAGCGAACAGGAUUAGAUACCCGGGUAGUC